CAAUAGCGUAUAUUAAAGUUGUUGCGGUAAAAAAGCUCGUAGUUGGAUUUCUGUUGAGAGCGACCGGUCCAUACCAUGUAUGCGUAUCUGGCUUGCUCUCGGCAUCCUCUCGAUAGACGUUACUGCGCUUGAUUGCGUGGUGCGGAUCUCGGGACUUUUACUUUGAGGAAAUUAGAGUGUUCACGGCAGGCUUUCGCCAGAAUACAUUAGCAUGGAAUAAUACUAUAGGACCUUGGUUCUAUUUUGUUGGUUUCUAGAAUUGAGAUAAUGAUUAAUAGGGACAAUUGGGGGCAUUCGUAUCAACACGUCAGAGGUGGAAUUCUUGGAUUGUGUUGCGACGAACUACUGCGAAAGCAUUUGCCAAGGAUGUUUUCAUUGA
rnacentral:rRNA from 1 species